GUCCUCAUAGUUCAAUUGGAUAGAACAGUGGCGUCCUAAGCCAUUGAUCCAGGUUCGAGUCCCGGUGAGGACACCA
rnacentral:tRNA from 7 species